rnacentral:tRNA from 1 species
UCCCUGGUGGUCCAGUGGUUAGGACUCUGCACUUUCACUGCCAAGGGCCAGAGUUCAAUCCCUGGUUGGGGAA